rnacentral:rRNA from 1 species
GUGGGGAAUUUUGGACAAUGGGGGCAACCCUGAUCCAGCCAUUCCGCGUGAGUGAAGAAGGCCUUCGGGUUGUAAAGCUCUUUCGGCAGGAACGAAACGGUGAGCUCUAACAUAGCUCGCUAAUGACGGUACCUGAAGAAGAAGCACCGGCUAACUACGUGCCAGCAGCCGCGGUAAUACGUAGGGUGCGAGCGUUAAUCGGAAUUACUGGGCGUAAAGCGUGCGCAGGCGGUUGUGUAAGACAGGUGUGAAAUCCCCGGGCUUAACCUGGGAACUGCGAUUGUGACUGAACGGCUAGAGUAUGGCAGAAGGGGGUGGAAUUCCACGUGUAGCAGUGAAAUGCGUAGAGAUGUGGAGGAACACCGAUGGCGAAGGCAGCCCCCUGGGCCAAUUCUGACGCUCAUGCACGAAAGCGUGGGGAGCAAACAGGAUUAGAAACCCGUGUAGUCC